ACGAGUUAGGGUCUUCCAAGGCCCGACCUCCCAACCCUAUGUUUAUUGUACCAUGUGUUGCUUCGGCGGGACCGUCUUCACGACCGCCGGAGGACCGUAAAACGUCCUCUGGCCCGCGCCCGCCGACGGCCCCCCAUUGAAAACUCUUUGAAUAAUCAUGCCUAUAUUGUCUGAGUAAUACACAAAAAUUAAAAGCA
rnacentral:misc_RNA from 1 species